CUGGCAUCUAUUAAAAAAUGUAAUGUUUACUUUUUUUGAAAAAGUACUGUAGAAAGCGAUAACAGAAAUUCUAAAGAAAACCCCUGGUUAUACCCAAAUGUUCCCUUCCCCCUCCAGUCUUGGAACAUAUUACUCAAGUUGUUUUCCUCUUUUUUAUAAUUUUUGUAUGCAUUUUCAGCCUCCUGAUUGGAAAAGAAACUGAAUACUCUCAUGAAAUGAUGAAAAAAAAUGGAGCUUUAAUGUUUCAACUUCAAAGAAUGAGGAAACAAUGGAAAAGUGUUUGGCUGUGCUAGUCUGAGAGUGAAUCUACUGAGCAAGGUAAUAUGCAAGAGCAUAACAAUGAGAUUUGAGUCUUUGUAGCAGUUUGGUUUCCAAAUGCAAGUUUUCCUUAUGGAAUCUAAUGUGAUUAGCAACUUCAUAUUGGCAAAAAUGAAUUUAAUAUUUUAAAGCUCCUUUAGAUUCUGAUCCUGUAUCCACCUCUUCCAGAUGUUUCUGGUAUGACUGAUGGACUUGAGUGCCUUGACUUGAAGGUGUACAGCACAAAACUGCAUUGCCCUCAUUACUGUGAUAAAAGCUGAGGUGGCAGAAAGCAUGGGGCAGAGUCUUUCAUCCUAACAUAAAAAGAAGUCUUUCCUUCACUGACUGUGAGAAUUCCUACUGUCUUCAAGACUGAAGUUCAACUUCUGCAAGGUCAACACUAGAAAUAUUCCCUUGUAAUUCUGAGAAUUCCGUAUAAUAGAAUCAGAUGAAUACAUAAGGGUUUCACCUGACCAGCCUCCUGGUUUGCUGUUCUGUCAUGAAAUUGCUUUAAAAAUGAGUUUUAAAAAAUAGCAAUUCAAGUUCUUUAUUAUGUGUCUUUUUAUUUAUGUGCUUUGGAUUCCUAUUUCAAACUUGCCUGAACAGCAAUAGCAGGUGAAAAUGAUGCUUUUCAAAUUAAAAAUAAGGUUCCCAAAUACUCAUGUAAUUUUAGAUGCCAUGGCUUAAAAAAUGAGAGGGGAAAUAUCCCAAGGUGCUUGAUAAAACUGUGAAAGUUGGCAGUACUGAGACCAGAAAGUUUUAACUGUGACCAUUCUCUGUCUGCAAAAGAUAAGAGAGUUUUUCUCUCUAGAGAAUGAAACUUUUAAAUGAAGCUGGAAGAACUACAUUUCAAUUGAAUGUUGAGAG
rnacentral:lncRNA from 1 species